rnacentral:rRNA from 1 species
AUUCAGGACGACGCUGGGGCGUGCUAACACAUGCAAGCGAACGGAGACUAGAGGAAGCUUCGAAUCCAGUCCUAGUGCGGACGGGUGAGUAACACGUGGAUAACCUGCCUGUAAGACCGGGACAACACCUGGAAACGGGUGCUAAUACCGGGUAAGCUCUUUGCGCCGCAUGGGAAGAAGAGGAGAGGGGAAACCCGCUUACAGAUGGAUCCGCGGCCCAUUAGCUAGUUGGCGGUGUAACGGACCACCAAGGCGACGAUGGGUAGCCGGCCUGAGAGGGUGGACGGCCACACUGGAACUGAGACACGGUCCAGACUCCUACGGGAGGCAGCAGUGGGGAAUCUUCCGCAAUGGGCGAAAGCCUGACGGAGCAACGCCGCGUGAAUGAUGAAGGCCUUCGGGUUGUAAAAUUCUGUCUUCAGGGAAGAAAAAAAUGACGGUACCUGAGGAGGAAGCCCCGGCU